UUCCGGUUGAUCCUGCCGAAGGCUACUGCUAUUGGAGUUCGAUUAAGCCAUGCGAGUCUAAGGGAUCUUCGGAUCCCUGGCGUAAUGCUCAGUAACACGUGGAUAAUCUACCCUCAGGUGGGGCAUAAACCCGGGAAACUGGGGUCAAUUCCCCAUAAAUACAGAUGGCUGGAAUGCUUCUGUAUUCAAAGCUCCGGCGCCUGAGGAUGAGUCUGCGGCCUAUCAGGUUGUAGUCAGGGUCAAGACCUGACUAGCCAGCGACGGGUAUGGGGUGUGAGAGCACUUGCCCAGAGAUGGUUUCUGAGACACGAAACCAGGCCCUACGGGGCGCAGCAGGCGCGAAAACUUCGCAAUGCGGGAAACCGUGACGAGGGAACUCCGAGUGUCUAUGCAUUGCAUAGACUGUUUUUUAGCCUAAAUAGCUAUUAGAGUAAGGGGUGGGCAAGACCGGUGCCAGCCGCCGCGGUAACACCGGCACCCCGAGUGGUAGCCACUAUUAUUGGGCCUAAAGCGUUCGUAGCCGGUUUGGUAAAUUCUUGGGUAAAUCGUACCGCUCAACGGUGCGGAUUCCGGGGACACUACCAGACUUGAGACCGGGGGAGAUCAGAGGUACUUGCGGGGGAGCGGUGAAAUGUUGUAAUCCCGCAGGGACCACCAGUGGCGAAGGCGUCUGAUCAGAACGGCUCUGACGGUGAGGAACGAAACCCUGGGGCGCAAACGGGAUUAGAUACCCCGGUAGUCC
rnacentral:rRNA from 1 species